CCGUGGGCGUUUGAGAUUUGAGGAAAGCUGCUCCUAGUACGAGAGGACCGGAGUGGACGAACCACUGGUGUUCGGGUUGUCAUGCCAAUGGCAUUGCCCGGUAGCUAUGUUCGGACGGGAUAACCGCUGAAAGCAUCUAAGCGGGAAGCCUCUUCCAAGAUGAGAUCUCACCAUAUCUAUAAGAUAACUAAAGGGCCGUUGGAGACUACGACGUUGAUAGGUCAGGUGUGGAAGCGCAGUAAUGCGUGAAGCUAACUGAUACUAAUUGCCCGUGAGGCUUGAUCAU
rnacentral:rRNA from 1 species